rnacentral:ncRNA from 1 species
UGAGUCGUGGCGGGAGAAGCCUCGGGAACGGGGUACCGAAGGAGCAACCUCCCCGGAAUCUCUCAGGUACAGAUACCGUUUCGACCAG